rnacentral:rRNA from 1 species
GGUUAAGCGACUAAGCGUACACGGUGGAUGCCCUGGCAGUCAGAGGCGAUGAAGGACGUGCUAAUCUGCGAUAAGCGUCGGUAAGGUGAUAUGAACCGUUAUAACCGGCGAUUUCCGAAUGGGGAAACCCAGUGUGUUUCGACACACUAUCAUUAACUGAAUCCAUAGGUUAAUGAGGCGAACCGGGGGAACUGAAACAUCUAAGUACCCCGAGGAAAAGAAAUCAACCGAGAUUCCCCCAGUAGCGGCGAGCGAACGGGGAGGAGCCCAGAGCCUGAAUCAGUGUGUGUGUUAGUGGAAGCGUCUGGAAAGGCGCGCGAUACAGGGUGACAGCCCCGUACACAAAAAUGCACAUGCUGUGAGCUCGAUGAGUAGGGCGGGACACGUGGUAUCCUGUCUGAAUAUGGGGGGACCAUCCUCCAAGGCUAAAUACUCCUGACUGACCGAUAGUGAACCAGUACCGUGAGGGAAAGGCGAAAAGAACCCCGGCGAGGGGAGUGAAAAAGAACCUGAAACCGUGUACGUACAAGCAGUGGGAGCACGCUUAGGCGUGUGACUGCGUACCUUUUGUAUAAUGGGUCAGCGACUUAUAUUCUGUAGCAAGGUUAACCGAAUAGGGGAGCCGAAGGGAAACCGAGUCUUAACUGGGCGUUAAGUUGCAGGGUAUAGACCCGAAACCCGGUGAUCUAGCCAUGGGCAGGUUGAAGGUUGGGUAACACUAACUGGAGGACCGAACCGACUAAUGUUGAAAAAUUAGCGGAUGACUUGUGGCUGGGGGUGAAAGGCCAAUCAAACCGGGAGAUAGCUGGUUCUCCCCGAAAGCUAUUUAGGUAGCGCCUCGUGAAUUCAUCUCCGGGGGUAGAGCACUGUUUCGGCAAGGGGGUCAUCCCGACUUACCAACCCGAUGCAAACUGCGAAUACCGGAGAAUGUUAUCACGGGAGACACACGGCGGGUGCUAACGUCCGUCGUGAAGAGGGAAACAACCCAGACCGCCAGCUAAGGUCCCAAAGUCAUGGUUAAGUGGGAAACGAUGUGGGAAGGCCCAGACAGCCAGGAUGUUGGCUUAGAAGCAGCCAUCAUUUAAAGAAAGCGUAAUAGCUCACUGGUCGAGUCGGCCUGCGCGGAAGAUGUAACGGGGCUAAACCAUGCACCGAAGCUGCGGCAGCGACACUAUGUGUUGUUGGGUAGGGGAGCGUUCUGUAAGCCUGUGAAGGUGUGCUGUGAGGCAUGCUGGAGGUAUCAGAAGUGCGAAUGCUGACAUAAGUAACGAUAAAGCGGGUGAAAAGCCCGCUCGCCGGAAGACCAAGGGUUCCUGUCCAACGUUAAUCGGGGCAGGGUGAGUCGACCCCUAAGGCGAGGCCGAAAGGCGUAGUCGAUGGGAAACAGGUUAAUAUUCCUGUACUUGGUGUUACUGCGAAGGGGGGACGGAGAAGGCUAUGUUGGCCGGGCGACGGUUGUCCCGGUUUAAGCGUGUAGGCUGGUUUUCCAGGCAAAUCCGGAAAAUCAAGGCUGAGGCGUGAUGACGAGGCACUACGGUGCUGAAGCAACAAAUGCCCUGCUUCCAGGAAAAGCCUCUAAGCAUCAGGUAACAUCAAAUCGUACCCCAAACCGACACAGGUGGUCAGGUAGAGAAUACCAAGGCGCUUGAGAGAACUCGGGUGAAGGAACUAGGCAAAAUGGUGCCGUAACUUCGGGAGAAGGCACGCUGAUAUGUAGGUGAGGUCCCUCGCGGAUGGAGCUGAAAUCAGUCGAAGAUACCAGCUGGCUGCAACUGUUUAUUAAAAACACAGCACUGUGCAAACACGAAAGUGGACGUAUACGGUGUGACGCCUGCCCGGUGCCGGAAGGUUAAUUGAUGGGGUUAGCGNNAGCGAAGCUCUUGAUCGAAGCCCCGGUAAACGGCGGCCGUAACUAUAACGGUCCUAAGGUAGCGAAAUUCCUUGUCGGGUAAGUUCCGACCUGCACGAAUGGCGUAAUGAUGGCCAGGCUGUCUCCACCCGAGACUCAGUGAAAUUGAACUCGCUGUGAAGAUGCAGUGUACCCGCGGCAAGACGGAAAGACCCCGUGAACCUUUACUAUAGCUUGACACUGAACAUUGAGCCUUGAUGUGUAGGAUAGGUGGGAGNNNNNGAAGUGUGGACGCCAGUCUGCAUGGAGCCGACCUUGAAAUACCACCCUUUAAUGUUUGAUGUUCUAACGUUGACCCGUAAUCCGGGUUGCGGACAGUGUCUGGUGGGUAGUUUGACUGGGGCGGUCUCCUCCUAAAGAGUAACGGAGGAGCACGAAGGUUGGCUAAUCCUGGUCGGACAUCAGGAGGUUAGUGCAAUGGCAUAAGCCAGCUUGACUGCGAGCGUGACGGCGCGAGCAGGUGCGAAAGCAGGUCAUAGUGAUCCGGUGGUUCUGAAUGGAAGGGCCAUCGCUCAACGGAUAAAAGGUACUCCGGGGAUAACAGGCUGAUACCGCCCAAGAGUUCAUAUCGACGGCGGUGUUUGGCACCUCGAUGUCGGCUCAUCACAUCCUGGGGCUGAAGUAGGUCCCAAGGGUAUGGCUGUUCGCCAUUUAAAGUGGUACGCGAGCUGGGUUUAGAACGUCGUGAGACAGUUCGGUCCCUAUCUGCCGUGGGCGCUGGAGAACUGAGGGGGGCUGCUCCUAGUACGAGAGGACCGGAGUGGACGCAUCACUGGUGUUCGGGUUGUCAUGCCAAUGGCACUGCCCGGUAGCUAAAUGCGGAAGAGAUAAGUGCUGAAAGCAUCUAAGCACGAAACUUGCCCCGAGAUGAGUUCUCCCNNNNNNNNUAAGGGUCCUGAAGGAACGUUGAAGACGACGACGUUGAUAGGCCGGGUGUGUAAGCGCAGCGAUGCGUUGAGCUAACCGGUACUAAUGAACCGUGAGGCUUAACCUU